CUCACCCAGCCCGAAGGGCGGGGCCGUCUGUCUGUGAAGGUCUCCCGCUGAAACACGCAAUUUCACUCUACCCUUGAACUAUAAUCUACGAUCUUUUAUGGCCCUCAGUUUUCUCAUUUAAAAUGUCUAAGGUUGUUUCAAGUUCUAAAAUUUUAGCAUUCGAACCCAAAUUCUGGCUUCCGGACAGCCUUCCCAUCGUCUUCCUCUUUAUACCACAUCCUGUCCCCAAACCGAUGAAUUAUUUUACUUUCACCCCGACUUGGAAUUCUACGUUACUUAUUUCAGUCUCCACCCUAAACAUAUUUCUUCUUCCCAAUUUAUUUUCAAGGUUGAAGGAAAGUUCAAGUGAAACCUAGCAACACAUAAACCUAGAAAAAGAGAAAGAAGGACAUAAUUUCUUUUUUGGUGUAGAAGACGUUAUUUGCAGCUGAAAGCGUACCAAGCGCUCCUAAAUCCGAAAAAUGAUCAUAUUUGCACGGCAUACAGAGGUGAGCAAGCUUCGGAGACUCGUCAGCCAGAGGCAACACAUCUGGUGCGGGUAGCAGCCCCGCAGGCGGUGGGACCAGUAUUACAGCAUCGAGCGAGAUUCAGUGCCAAGGCACCCCGCGGGGAAGCUUUGGGGUGCAGCCUGGGCUGUGGUGGAAGACUUGCCUAAAAUUCCUCCCACUCCUCUUCCAAAUAGCCCACCAACCCUCUACCCCGACCUCACUCUCCAAAAAACCAUUUUGCUCAA